GGCAGGAUCAAAAGCAGCUCCUGCAUGGGGACGCCGUGUCCUCCUGCUGUUAUCAUAGUAUGCCCUGUGCUCCCAGGAGGAGGCUGAGGGCAGGAUGUGGUAGCUAGCCCUCACAAUGGUGGCUGAUGUGUGAUCAAUAGGCUAUGUCAUGGUAUUUCACUUCUAAGUCUAGAUCAUAAAGGGCAUUGUGGCACCUACCUUGAUUUCUCUUGGAUCACUCAUUCUGAGGGAAGAUAGCUGCCAUGUUGGGAGGACGUGCAAGCAGCCCUGUGAAGAGGUCAACACAGGGGGGAACUGAAGCCCCUUCCAAACAGCUAGCACCAACUUGCCAGCCAUGUAAAGUGAUUCACCUUGGAAACAGAUCCUCCAGCCUCAGCCAAGCCUUCAGAUGCAACCUCAUGACAGACUCUGAACCAGAAACACACAGCCAAGCUGCUGACCCACAGACUUUGUGAGAGAUCAUAAACAUUUACUGUUGUUCUAAGACACUGUUUUAGGGUGCUUUGUUGUACAACAAUAGCUUACUGAAAAUACAGAGAGCCUAGCACAGUGCCUGCAUGUGGUCAUCACUCAAUGGUUGAGCGAGUGAAUCUUGCUUAGUAUUGAACACUCCCACUGACAGCUAACUGUACCAUCUCUCAAAACAAUUCAUUCUAUCUUUG
rnacentral:lncRNA from 1 species